ensembl:snoRNA
ACAGAGGAUGAUGACUAGUGGUGGCGUAUGAGUCAUAGAAUAUGAACGCAUGUCUGGCUUUCUCUUCUUGAA